AUUGAACGCUGGCGGCAGGCUUAACACAUGCAAGUCGAGCGGGGAAGGUUGCUUUGGUAACUGACCUAGCGGCGGACGGGUGAGUAAUGCUUAGGAAUCUGCCUAUUAGUGGGGGACAACAUUCCGAAAGGAAUGCUAAUACCGCAUACGCCCUACGGGGGAAAGCAGGGGAUCUUCGGACCUUGCGCUAAUAGAUGAGCCUAAGUCGGAUUAGCUAGUUGGUGGGGUAAAGGCCUACCAAGGCGACGAGCUGUAGCGGGUCUGAGAGGAUGAUCCGCCACACUGGGACUGAGACACGGCCCAGACUCCUACGGGAGGCAGCAGUGGGGAAUAUUGGACGAUGGGCGGAAGCCUGAUCCAGCCAUGCCGCGUGUGUGAAGAAGGCCUUUUGGUUGUAAAGCACUUUAAGCGAGGAGGAGGCUCCUUUAGUUAAUACCUAAAGAGAGUGGACGUUACUCGCAGAAUAAGCACCGGCUAACUCUGUGCCAGCCGCCGCCGUAA
rnacentral:rRNA from 1 species